rnacentral:sRNA from 1 species
CAAUUCAUAACUAUUCUUUGUCUUAACAUUUGCUGUUAUACAGUGGCCAUUUUGAGAGUAAACUUAUGCUGGAAUAUAGGAAAUUACUAUUUUAAAGUAAGUUCCAAAGUGGUGUGCGGUGUGUUAGACUGGAGCCCUGCAAGCAUGAUAUUCACUUCUCUUUUCCUUUAAGGGCAGCAAUUUUAAAUCCUGACAAAACAGCGUUGCUUAUACAAGAUAUCUUCAGUAAGCACUUGUCAGCGUUUCUUAUGUUCCUGAAUAUCUUGUAGGAUAACCACCAUUUCAUCUUCACGUAUAAAAUUAAAAUACAGAAAAUAUUAAAAAGGAAAAAUUGAAAGAUGUUUGUGACGGUCCCUGUUCUUAGUUCUGCAUGUUGUUAGCCUGUAGCUUCUCAGGCAAUCCUAUCUGAAAGCAACAUUCUGAUUGCAUCAUAAUGAGGAUCAUAAGCUUGACUGAUGAGUAUUAACUUCUGAGCCUGUGUAGUAAAAGCUGGCUACUAAGCCCACAGGCAAAGCACCAAAUCCUCACCCAUGAUCACUUUCUCAGAAAAACAAAGUCUAUUGGGCAAGGCUUCAAAGGGCAAGGAUUUACCACUGCCUUUCGGCAUGGGAAAUCCGUGUCUGUUACAGUUUAUGUCUGCCUUGAGGUUCUGCACUGGCUGUUCUUUCUAGAGCACUCAGAGCUCAGAAGACAGAUGCAUCUAUACCGCAGCUCAACUGCCACGAGAAACAGAUGUUUUCUUUACCAUUGGGUCACUUUUCUUGUUGCCAUGAACAAAGUACAGAACAAGAGUCAACUUUGGAGAGGAAGAGAUUAUCUGACUUCAGUUAAAGAGGCUACAUCCCACCAUGUCCGGGAAAGCAUGACAGCAGAUACCAUGAGGGGUCACAUCGCAGCUGCAGCUAGGAAUCAGAGAGCAGGCAGGAAGUGAGUUUGAGCUAUGAAAUGUCAAACCUCAAAAGUGAUCCUAUUGUUCCCACAGGCUUCACGUCUUAAAGGUUCCACAGUCUUCUAAAACAGCACCCUAGUUAAAGACCAGUUCUUCAAACACAUGAAGCUAUGGGAGGAACACUGAGAAACAUUCUCUUCAGAUAACUUGUGAUGCACACCAAAUGAUGCUGGUA